CGGACGGGUGAGUAACACGUGGAUAACCUACCUAUAAGACUGGGAUAACUUCGGGAAACCGGAGCUAAUACCGGAUAAUAUAUUGAACCGCAUGGUUCAAUAGCGAAAGACGGUUUUGCUGUCACUUAUAGAUGGAUCCGCGCUGCAUUAGCUAGUUGGUAAGGUAACGGCUUACCAAGGCAACGAUGCGUAGCCGACCUGAGAGGGUGAUCGGCCACACUGGAACUGAGACACGGUCCAGACUCCUACGGGAGGCAGCAGCG
rnacentral:rRNA from 1 species